rnacentral:lncRNA from 1 species
AAAGAAAUUAAGUGGCAACUCUACUCACUGUCUGUUGUUGCAAAGCCCUGUUUAGUAAAUGCACGUGCAUAGACUUAGGAGCAUUCCAUUCCUGCAAAUUGCACGAAUUAACUAAUAAAGAACUGAAUAAUUCUACAAGUUUGAGCAGGUACAAUCUUCUAAGAGAAAUCGAGGAGCAUGUGAAUCAUGAAUACCUGGAAAUCCAUAUAUGAGGAACAAAACAUUUACAUGGCUAAGCUGGCCAUGAUUGACACUAGGCACAAUUAAUGAUAAGAGCAUCCAACAAUCUCUGUGAUCUUAGCGGUACAUGAAAUGAUACCAUCAGACCACGAAAAUAUGAUCUUUCGCAAGCACUAAUUCUGUAAAAUGUGCUGCUGCACUGAGAAGUAACAGAAAGCUAUAACCUUUAACUUA